UCUUCCUCUACUUCCAUAUGAAUCUAAAUUAAAAAUGCCCGAUCACGUAUAAAUCGACUGAGCAUCGGCGAAUUGUAUUCAAUGUAAGCACCCUGUCCCGCCGGAGACCUAAUUUUUUCUCAAUUUCGUCUUCUGAUUCACACAGUCAAACGUUUUCUUCCAUGCGCGAAAACCCUAAUACCCGCGCAGCAAUGCAGCAUGGCCUUGGCCACCAUGGUCGGCUGCCAGCAUGGCGUCCGGUCGCACGCUACUGGUGCCCUCUCUUCUCCUCUCAGAUUUUCUUUUUCUGGAGAACAGAAAGAAACUCAAGCCCUCGCGAUCCGCCAUUGCUGACACCCCUCCGUAAGCCGCCGUGCCAAUAGAGGCGUACCUUCGUGCUUAAAUCCUGAGCCUAGAACUGGUAUUGUCUUGUAGGGAUUGGAAGAGUUUCCAAGAUCAGCCCAGAACAUAAUCCCACAUGUGGGUGCUGUAAAUUACUUUUUAGCAGGACUGUCAUAACAUGCAUUCUGCUGAAGUUUGCUCAAGAUCAAACCUAUUUAUGGGAUUGAAGGAGUUUCUAAGAUGAGGACGGAGCAUAAUCCCAUUACACGGGUGGUGGAAAUUGCUUUUUAGCAGCAGAAGUGCCUUCGUGUGCAUUCUGCAGAAGUUUGCUCAAGAUCAAACCUAUUUAUGUAUGUGCAUAUUUUUUUUCCGGGAAUUUUAGAACUCAGUUCUGCACAUCUAGUUUUCUGUUUUCCAAUUGUGCUGCCUUAUUUUGUAAUGAUUUUGUUCUUGGCUUAGAUUUGAUGGAGAAUGAAGCAUUGAUGCAGAGUAACUAAUGUUGUAAAUAUUUUUUACCAAUCUUGGAUCCAAA